rnacentral:misc_RNA from 1 species
AAAGGAACUGAUGGCAGGCAGUGGUGGAAAUCUUAGUUCCAAUCAGUCAUCUGUGUCUCAUCAAGCUCCCAAAAUCCUAUUAGCCAAACCUGGACUUGUUUCCGCCGGUAAGUUCAACCGUGGUGGACCUGACGAUGAUCCAGCAGCUCACCGCCCACGUCUUCCCUCUGUUGGAUCUCUUAAUCUUCUCUCUGACACCUGGGAUUUCCACACGGAUCGUUUUCUCCCAUUUCUA